GUCUCACAACAUGGUUUUGUAAAACCAUCAACGGUAAAAGCAUAUGUUAUCAGUAAGAGAGUAAAAGAAAAACCAUCUAAGUUAUUAGAGACGGUGAGCGUUUAAUCAGCGGGGUUGGCACUGUGCCGGUGGUCGUUAUUGUCAUCGCCGUAAGUGAUUUAACGGCAACAUCAUCUGGUACUAUGGCGUUAAUUUUGGUAUUCGAAGAAGAAGCGUGAAACGAUGAGUCUGGACAUGGGGUCCGGUGUCCAUAUUCAAGAAACGUUGGGACCGGUGUCAAUUGGUGUCGAUAGUUGCCGCCGAUAGUGAUUCAAAGGCUGCCACCAUAAGCCUCUAUUUUUAUUUUUUUUCGAAAUGAUGUGUCGGUUAGUUUUCCGGCAUGUGUCUUAAGUCAUAAUUUGUGGAAACCGGUGGUGGGAGCAGUUAUGUUAACGGACUAAUGGUGCUGCUUAAUGUUAACGGUUUGUUUUUUUUUUUUCGGAACGGUGCGUCAGUUGGGCACAGGUUUGCUUAUCACAUCGUUGACCACAGACUAAGGUGCCGACAUUUGUUGACGCCUUGUUCAAUAUGAUUUUAUUAAUUCAGAAGGUUGAUUUAAACGGUGUGUUUGUUUGGACACGAUGAUUACAUGAGCAGGUGAUGCCCCAAGUUACUUUUUGUAGUAUUAUAUUAUAUAAUAUAAUGCCUGCCAUUUAUAGGACCUAGUAAAUCCUUAUUUAACCACAAUGAAGAACCAAAACAUCAAGAACAAAGAAGAUGCGAUGUAUACCUAAAACAUGGAUUUGCAUUGAUCAAUCGACACGCUUUGAAUGUUUACACAGACAUAUAAUCUAUAUAUACUGACUGUAGGGAACAGGGCAAAGCUUCACCAAUUGUCAUACACAUUAACCAUAAUGUCAAGGAAUAGACACGAAACUAAAUUUUAUACUCUAAUUACUUAAAUAACUAGACUUUUUAUCGAACUUGUAUCAAACAUACAAGUCUAACAACCCCUCCCCCCCCCCCCACACACACACACACAUACACACACACACAUGUUAAUCCAAGUUUAAGUAUGUCUUCAUACCUUGAUCUUUUGUCUCUUGUUCCAUUCUCUUCUGAAAUUUG
rnacentral:lncRNA from 1 species